rnacentral:lncRNA from 1 species
AAUGAUCACAAGCAAACACACCCACUCAUAUAUAAAUAGAGCAUAUAUUCCUCACAAGAAUACAAGAUAUUAUAGAGCAAAGAUUGAUAGCUAACUUCAGUAAAUGUCGAGCUACAUUUCCUUCUUCAUGUUACUCUUUUUGUUCCUUAUUUCUCCUCGAACAAACGUUGUCUGUGCAUCAAGACCUUUAUUGGAAUCCAAUAAUCCGGGUCACAUGAGCACGAAUACAAUUUACAUAAAAGGUAGCGAACAAGGCGCAUUUCGCGGUGGAGCGAUGAACGAUUGUCUUCCAAAGGGGUUUCACUUCAACUCAGCUCCUAGCCGCUACAUUAACAAUCUUCCUUUAGAUUCAACUCUUUGUUCUACAACAGAGAAAGCUAUUCCUAAUCCAUAAAAGUAAUAAUCCCCUAAAAUAUUACCCGCUAAAUUAAGUAUGUGCAAAGAUUGAUAGCUAAAUCACCUAUUUGUUUUUUUUUUGCUCUAUGCUUGGGUUAUUUCUUGAAUAAAACCCAUGUAUGUAUUCUUUAAUUAAUUGUGUUUGUAUACUUGUGUAUAAUAUUUAAGCAAUUUUAUUAUAGAUGAAAAAAGUAAUUUUAUAUAAAAAUGUUGUUUAGUAAAUUAAUCAACACAAAUCAGUUUUUGCUAAAUAUGAGAAUUUUUCUCUUCACCACGGUUAAAACUUAAAACUAAAACUGUAUUUAUUGAGAUAAUAUAUGUUAAUAAUAUAUGUUCAUACUUCAUAGCUUUGUGGAAAUUGAGAAUAACCAUAUGUAAAAUAUUUUGAGAAAUGGUUAAAGGGUUCAUAAAAUAAGAGACAACACUUAUGAGAAAAAAAAAAGAGCCUUUAAAAUAAAACUUUGGUAAAGUCAAAGGAAAAGGACGAUAAAAAUCAUCAAAUCGAUAAGUUUUUAUUUUUAUUUGACGAUCUUGCUUCUUCUUCUUCUUCUUCUUCUUCUUCUUCUUCAACUCGUUACCAUCAACGCUCAAAUCCUGUAUACAAUCUCUUCUCAGCUGUAAUUUCUAUAAUCUCGUCAAUUAUCAUCUAUUCAGGGGUAAGCUAUGGGAUGUGCUUCUUCUCUUCCAGGCAAGUUUUGUUUUCUCUCUCAAUUUUGUUGAAUUUGUUGUCGUUGUUCGAAUAAAACUGAGGAUUUAUAGAGACCCUCGAGCAAUUUCACCACCCAUUUUCCGAAGGUGUAAUCAUCGGGGUUGAAUUAGAAGCUUUUAAAAAUUGGGGAUUUUGAUGAUUGGUUAGGGUUUUCUGGUGGAGAAUUGGAGAAACCGAAUUGAUUGUUGGUGAUUUGUGUGUUUUGUGAAGCAGAUAGGAACUCUGGAACUUUAAGUGGUCUUAGCAAUUCAGAGAAUGCUGUUCCAGCUGAUGCCAAAAAUCUACGUGUGAAGGUUUUUUUUUUUUAGUUUUUAGUCUCGUUUAAGAAUGUUGAUCUCGUUGAGAUUGCUUUGUUUCUUCACUGAUUCCUGCAAUUUCUAAUAGCUUAUUAGAAAGUUCAUGCUUUUGUGAUCUGUGGUCUUGCAUUAUAUAUGAUUGUUCACAUUUUAAUCCACGCAUGUUGUAAGAUGUGAUAAGCCUAGUGAAGCGCUUUUGAAGAAACAUACACUCUUUAUAGAAUGGUAGUAGCAAAACCUCAACUUUGUUCUUAAUAAUUGACGGUUUUGCUUUGCAAGCUACUUUUGAAACUCUUUUUCUAUUGUUAAGGAGAUGAUUCCUUUUCUUUCACCUUUUAUUUUCUUGUUGCUCAG